AUUGAACGCUGGCGGCAGGCCUAACACAUGCAAGUCGAGCGAGCGGCGGACGGGUGAGUAAUGUCUGGGAAACUGCCUGAUGGAGGGGGAUAACUACUGGAAACGGUAGCUAAUACCGCAUACCAUCAGAUGUGCCCAGAUGGGAUUAGCUAGUAGGUGGGGUAACGGCUCACCUAGGCGGCGAUCCCUAGCUGGUCUGAGAGGAUGACCAGCCAGACUGGAACUGUGACACGAUCCAGACUCCUACGUGAGGCAGCAGUGGGAGAUAUUGCACAAUGGGCGCAAGCCUGAUGCAGCAAUGCCGCGUGUGUGAAGAAGGUCUUCGGGUUGUAAAGCACUUUCAGCUGGGAGGCGUUACCCGCAGAAGAAGCACCGGCUAACUCCGGGCCAGCAGCCGCGGUAAUAG
rnacentral:rRNA from 1 species